rnacentral:rRNA from 1 species
UAAUACGGAGGGUGCGAGCGUUGUCCGGAAUCACUGGGCGUAAAGGGCGCGUAGGCGGCCUGAUAAGUAGGGGGUGAAAUCCUGCGGCUUAACCGCAGGGCUGCCUUCUAGACUGUCAGGCUAGAGCACAGUAGAGGCAGGUGGAAUUCCCGGUGUAGCGGUGGAAUGCGUAGAGAUCGGGAAGAACAUCAGUGGCGAAGGCGGCCUGCUGGGCUGUUGCUGACGCUGAGGCGCGACAGCGUGGGGAGCAAACAGGAUUAGAUACCCUGGUAGUCCACGCCGUAAACGAUGGACACUAGGCGUCGGGGGGAGCGACCCUCCCGGUGCCGUCGCUAACGCAGUAAGUGUCCCGCCUGGGGAGUACGGCCGCAAGGCUG